rnacentral:rRNA from 1 species
GGGUGAGUAAUGCAUCGGAACGUACCUUUCAGUGGGGGAUAACGUAGCGAAAGUUACGCUAAUACCGCAUAUUCUGUGAGCAGGAAAGCAGGGGAUCGCAAGACCUUGCGCUGAUGGAGCGGCCGAUGUCAGAUUAGCUAGUUGGUGGGGUAACGGCUCACCAAGGCGACGAUCUGUAGCGGGUCUUAGAGGAUGAUCCGCCACACUGGAACUGAGACACGGUCCAGACUCCUACGGGAGGCAGCAGUGUGGAAUUUUGGACAAUGGGCGCAAGCCUGAUCCAGCCAUGCCGCGUGAGUGAAGAAGGCCUUCGGGUUGUAAAGCUCUUUCGGCCGGGAAAAAAUCGCUUGGGUUAAUACCCUGAGUGGAUGAUGGUACCGGAAUAAGAAGCACCGGCUAACUACGUGCCAGCAGCCGCGGUAAUACGUAGGGUGCGAGCGUUAAUCGGAAUUACUGGGCGUAAAGCGUGCGCAGGCGGUUUUGUAAGACAGGCGUGAAAUCCCCGGGCUCAACCUGGGAACUGCGUUUGUGACUGCAAGGCUAGAGUAUGGCAGAGGGGGGUGGAAUUCCACGUGUAGCAGUGAAAUGCGUAGAGAUGUGGAGGAACACCAAUGGCGAAGGCAGCCCCCUGGGCCAAUACUGACGCUCAUGCACGAAAGCGUGGGGAGCAAACAGGAUUAGAUACCCUGGUAGUCCACGCCCUAAACGAUGUCAACUAGGUGUUGGGUGGGUAAAACCAUUUGGUACCGUAGCUAACGCGUGAAGUUGACCGCCUGGGGAGUACGGCCGCAAGGUUAAAACUCAAAGGAAUUGACGGGGACCCGCACAAGCGGUGGAUGAUGUGGAUUAAUUCGAUGCAACGCGAAAAACCUUACCUACCCUUGACAUGCCAGGAACUCGCCAGAGAUGGCUUGGUGCCCGAAAGGGAGCCUGGACACAGGUGCUGCAUGGCUGUCGUCAGCUCGUGUCGUGAGAUGUUGGGUUAAGUCCCGCAACGAGCGCAACCCUUGUAGUUAAUUGCCAUCAUUUAGUUGGGCACUUUAACGAGACUGCCGGUGACAAACCGGAGGAAGGUGGGGAUGACGUCAAGUCCUCAUGGCCCUUAUGGGUAGGGCUUCACACGUCAUACAAUGGUCGGUACAGAGGGUUGCCAAGCCGCGAGGCGGAGCCAAUCCCAGAAAGCCGAUCGUAGUCCGGAUCGCAGGCUGCAACUCGCCUGCGUGAAGUCGGAAUCGCUAGUAAUCGUGGAUCAGCAUGUCACGGUGAAUACGUUCCCGGGUCUUGUACACACCGCCCGUCACACCAUGGGAGCGGGUUCCGCCAGAAGUAGGUAGCCUAACCGCAAGGAGGGCGCUUACCA